rnacentral:lncRNA from 1 species
UCAUCAUAGUAUGAUGGCCGUUGGUCAAGCGGGCCCCCAUCGUCUAGUGGUUUAGGACAUCUCUCUUUCAAGGAGGCAGCGGGGAUUCGAAUUCCCCUGGGGGUAGGGUACUACGAAAGGAAAUUGAUCAUGGAUUACCAAUAAGUUGAAAAUUGAUUCUUCCUGGGUCGAUGCCCGAGCGGUUAAUGGGGACGGACUGUAAAUUCGUUGGCAAUAUGUCUACGCUGGUUCAAAUCCAGCUCGGCCCAAUAAUUCGCCAAUCCGCCAUGAGAUGAUAUAACUCCCUUUGUACUUCAGAAAUACCCGAUCCGGAGAUAAAAAAGAAUCAAAUUUUCUGCUAGAUCCCGUAUUUCCCUGGGAUUGUAGUUCAAUUGGUCAGAGCACCGCCCUGUCAAGGCGGAAGCUGCGGGUUCGAGCCCCGUCAGUCCCGACGGAUCCAAUAAAUAUAUCAAAAAAUCUCUCCCUUUUUCUGAAGGGGACCGGGGGAAGAAUUCCAUUGUCAAAGCAAAGGGGAAAUCCUUAUUUCUUUUUUCUUUCCUUUUGGUAGGAGAAAGACAUAUGCGGUUGGAUUAGUACAAUUAUUGGUAGCAUUAUAGUCAGUAUUCCAAGAAAUGCUGGCUUUUUCGAUUGCCCCCGAUGCAUGUAAUGGAAUCGAGUACUAUACUUUUUUGAGGCGCGCAUACACAAAAGGAAUUCCUUUGUUGUCCAAUACAAAAUUGAAUAUAAGAAAAUACUUUCCAGAAAAAACAAAAAAAAAAAAAAAACAAUUUCUUUUUCUGGCUACGGAUUUAUGGAACCUGACUUACUAGUUUGAAGUUGCAAAAUAGAUUUCAUGCAAAUUGCACACUGAGCUUUUGGUAUAGGUGUCCCGGGGCUAAUAAUCGACGAAGAAAGGAGGGGGAAGGACAGAUCAACCAAAGAUCCUACUCCUCUUAGAAAGGCGAAUGAAUCAUUUUUCCUAUUUUUCAUUUUGUUUUAAGGCCCCAUCGACGAACGAACAAAUCGGAAAAUAGUCAAUUUGAUGAAUAUUCAUUUUAUACGGUCUCAUCUUUAUCACACUUCUUUGUCUUCCAAGUCAAAAAUAGUUUCGUUCUAAACUCCUUUCUUUUUCCAUUUAGCUUUUAUUGUUUGUUUGGGUUUGUAACUAUGUGACCACUGGAAGUGGAAGAGCUAUUUGAUGAGACUUCAUCAGAUGAUUGUACAAGAAGGAACUAGAUAGAUUAGAGAGAAAAAAAGAACAGAUAAUAAAAAAUGAUAAAUAAAUAAAGGAAUUUUGGGUUAGGUCAGCAAUCCGAGUUUGGGGCGGUAUGGAUAAAAGAACUUCCUAUGUUAUACUAUUCAAUUCUCGACGACGAAUUUAUUUGAUAGUUCAGAUAUUGUUAUUCAUGAUAUUGAUCUGAUUCAAGAUCAUCGAGAGGUAAUAUUCAUUCAUUGAAUUUACAGGCCAAAGAUUUAUCAUCUCUAUGGGAUUAAAUCCCGAGUUAUUGCGAAGUAAAAAACCGAUGAGAUUAUGGAAGUAAAUAUUCUUGCAUUUAUUGCUACUGCACUAUUUAUUCUAGUUCCUACCGCUUUUCUACUUAUCAUUUAUGUAAAAACAGUCAGUCAAAACGAUUAAUUAUUAACUAAUUUGAAUGAAACUUGACUUCUGAGUUCUUAGCCAAAAUUGACGAAAUAAAAUGAAAAAGAUUCCAAUUUCAUGUCUUAAAUGAAAUGAGUGGACUAGAAUCGGCAGUAUUCUAAUAGAUAGAUAGUAUGGUAGAAAGAUUCAUCUAUUUCUUUCUACCAUACUAUUUAUUAGUUAGAUUCUUGUUAUAAAGCUGCCCCCUGGAAUAAAAUAAAGAUAGAGGCUGCAUUUGAUAUGGAUCUAUAUAUCAAUCUACAAUAUUAUCUUGAUAUAUGUGAAUAUCAAUUCCAUAUAUGGGAUUGACAUAGCAUCCAAUUCCAUUUAUUUGCUAUAUCUAUUUGUUCUGAUCAAUCUGAAUUACUCCUAUGUCUUAUAGUUUGAAUUACUAUAUUUUUGAUUUCCAAUAUGAAUCUCAGUAUCUAUUGAGAGAAUCAAAUCAAUGAAGCAAAAGCGAUAGAUAUAGGCAUAUUCAAAAAAUCACGUAGUAAUCUUUUUUUUUUUAACAUUCCUAAGAAGUAAACCAUUGACAGUAGUUCCACGGGCAUCGAAAAGGAAGAGUAAACCUCACUGAUUUUUAAGGCCUGAACCAUGAUAUGAAAUAAGUCGAUAAAGUCUAAAUCCAAUUUCCAAAAUUCGAAAGGUAAAUGCGCAAUAUGUGACUCACCUGACGAUCUUAUUCUAAAUAGUAUCUCGUUAGACAACCACUAUGUUUAUAUCCUUUCUUUCUCAUACAAAGUGCGUAUACACUUAACAAAACCACUUUUUCUUUGAACAGUAAAGAGAGAACCAAAUAAAAAACGGGUCCGGCCCUCCUCAGUAUCACCUAGGAAGAGGCCAUUGAUUGGAAUAGAAAAUUUAGUAAGAAUUAGGUUCGAA